UACGUAGGGUGCGAGCGUUGUCCGGAAUUAUUGGGCGUAAAGGGCUCGUAGGCGGUCUGUCACGUCGGGAGUGAAAACACGGGGCUUAACCCCGUGCCUGCUUCCGAUACGGGCAGACUAGAGGUAUGCAGGGGAGAACGGAAUUCCUGGUGUAGCGGUGAAAUGCGCAGAUAUCAGGAGGAACACCGGUGGCGAAGGCGGUUCUCUGGGCAUUACCUGACGCUGAGGAGCGAAAGUGUGGGGAGCGAGCAGG
rnacentral:rRNA from 1 species